AUUGAACGCUGGCGGCAGGCCUAACACCUGCAAGUCGAACGAGUGGCGGACGGGUGAGUAAUGUCUGGGAAACUGCCUGAUGGAGGGGGAUAACUACUGGAAACGGUAGCUCAUACCGCAUACCAUCAGAUGUGCCCAGAUGGGAUUAGCUAGUUGGUGGGGUAACGGCUCACAAAGGCGACGAUCCCUAGCUGGUCUGCGAGGAUGACCAGCCAAACUGGAACUGAGCCACGGUCCAGACGCCUACGGGAGGCAGCAGUGGGGAAUAUUGCACAAGGGGCGCAAGCCUGAUGCAGCCAUGCCGCGUGUAUGAAGAAGGCCUUCGGGUUGUAAAGUACUUUCAGCGGGGAGGCGUUACCCGCAGAAGAAGCACCGGCGAACUCCGUGCCAGCAGCCGCGGUAAGAC
rnacentral:rRNA from 1 species